UACGUAGGGGGCAAGCGUUGUCCGGAAUCAUUGGGCGUAAAGAGCGCGUAGGCGGCCCUGUAAGUCCGCUGUGAAAGUCAAGGGCUCAACCCUUGGAUGCCGGUGGAUACUGCAGGGCUAGAGUCCGGAAGAGGCGAGUGGAAUUCCUGGUGUAGCGGUGAAAUGCGCAGAUAUCUGGAGGAACACCGAUGGCGAAGGCAGCCCCCUGGGCUAACACUGACGCUGACUGCACGAAAG
rnacentral:rRNA from 1 species